rnacentral:rRNA from 1 species
UGGGGAAUAUUGCACAAUGGGCGCAGCCUGAUGCAGCCAUGCCGCGUGUAUGAAGAAGGCCUUCGGGUUGUAAGUACUUUCAGUAGGGAGGAAGGUGGUUAAGUUAAUACCUUAAUCAUUUGACGUUACCUACAGAAGAAGCACCGGCUAACUCCGUGCCAGCAGCCGCGGUAAU